rnacentral:tRNA from 1 species
AGAGGAGUGUCCGAGUGGAUUAAGGUAGCUGUCCUGAAAACAGCCGUGCGUAGCAGCACCGUGGGUUCAAAUCCCACCUCCUCUGCCA